GAUAAUCGUACGUGGUUUGGUAAAGCUUCGCUUUCAAAAGCAAUCUGACGGUCGACAGCCGAGUGGUUUAUCCUUUUCCUUGAUUACACCGAAUACAAAUCCUGCGGCCCUUCACAAAGAAAAAAAGAAAAACCAAUGACUUCUUCUACUUGUUGUUCGUCUAUCAUCCCUUCUCAACUUCACAACAGAGUUUCAAUUAGAAGAAUUACCACAAACAUUAUUUGGGUUUCCCCUAAAUCACUUAAAGUACAGAAAACCAAAGAAUAUCACUUAAAAUCAUGUUUUAGUGCUACUACUGCUGCUGCAAAUCGAGAAUUAAGAGGAGAUAAGUACGGUGUGGGCGAUAAGGAUGGUGUCAUCAUUGUUGAUCAUGGCUCUAGGCGCAAAGAAUCUAAUCUUUUGCUAAAUGAUUUUGUAGCCAUGUUUAGAGAUAAAACUGGUUACCCAAUUGUGGAGCCUGCUCACAUGGAGUUGGCAGAACCGUCGAUUAAAGAUGCAUUCGGUUCAUGUGUGCGACAAGGGGCAAACCGAGUAAUUGUCAGUCCAUACUUUCUUUCCCCUGGAAGGCAUUGGAAGCAGGAUAUCCCAAGCUUAACUGCUGAAGCUGCAAAGGAGCAUCCGGGUGUCACAUACUUGAUAACUGCACCUCUUGGCUUGCAUGAGCAAAUUGUGGAAGUAGUGAAUGACAGAAUCAAGCACUGCAUAAGCCAUGUAGCUGGAGAUGCAGAGGAAUGUGCAGUUUGUGUUGGAACAGGCAAAUGUCGUCUGUAUCAUGUUGAAUCAUAAUGAUCCUUUGCUACUGGUUUUAGAUCCAUCUUCAUGUGGAGACCUGUGAUUCACAUACAUGCAACUGAAGUGGAAAAAGAGUAUACAGUAUUUGCGGAUCCAAGAGCCUCGUCCAUCGUGAAAGUGUUUCUUGCGUUGUGUACACAUUCUCUGCAACCUACAAAAUCGAAAGCAUAAUCAGUUUUGGGUUCAAUUAUCAGAAGGUUUCUGCCUCCAUCUUCAUGACAGAUAGUUGCAAGCAAAAAAGAAAAAAAAAAACUUUCUACUGAGAACCAUUUGGAAAUGAGCGAGAAAAGCUUGUCAAUCAGAACUUUGCAAUCAUCAGAUAGAAUUACCUGGAAAUAGUUUGGUUUGGAUGGCUAUGGCGGGUCAAUUUUUAUUCAACUCUGAACUAACCAUUUUUAUUUAGUAAAGAUAGUUGCAGAAACCAAUAGAUAAUAUUGUUCACCAAGUUUGGAAAUAUCUUUGGCGGAAAUAAUGACCGGAAAGAUUGGUUUGAAUCAAAGAGUAUCUUGAUUUUGAUAUUUUUGUCUUGGUUAUUUGAUAUUUUCUCUUCUUCAAUGAGAAAGAAAAAUCAAUUGAAGGCAUAGAGAAUUAGAGAUAUUUUUU